GACGAACGCUGGCGGCGUGCUUAACACAUGCAAGUCGAACGAAGUGGCGAACGGGUGAGUAAUACGUGGGUAACCUGCCCUCCUUUCUGGGAUAAGCCUUGGAAACGGGGUCUAAUACCGAAUAAAGGGGGCUGGGCUUGCGGCCUUUCCGCUUGUUGGUGGGGUGAUGGCCUACCAAGGCGGUGACGGGUCGCCGGCCUGAGAGCGUGAACGGCCACAUUGGGACGGUGAUACGGCCCACACGCCUACGGGAGGGGACGAUGGGGGAUAUUGCACAAUGGGGGGAAGCCUGCAGCAGCGACGCCGCGUGGGGGGUGCGGGCUUUCGGGUUGUAAACUUCUUUCGCUACAGAAAGGGUAGGUGGAAAAGAAGCGACGGCUGAGUACGUGCCAGGCGCCGCGGUAAUUC
rnacentral:rRNA from 1 species